UGAGUACGAGAGGCUACGGCCUCGAAGCAGUCUAUGUCAUACUUCCAAGAAAAGCUUGCAAUGUCAUAAACAAAUAAUGCCUGUACCAUAACCGACACAGGUGGGUAGGUAGAGUAUACUAAGGGGCGCGAGAUAGCUCUCUCUAAGGAACUCGGCAAAAUGACUCCGUAACUUCGGGAGAAGGAGUGCCUUAUUUAUUAUUUAUAAGGUUGCAAUAACAAGAUCCAAGCAACUGUUUACCAAAAACACAGGUCUCCGCUAAGUCGUAAGACGAUGUAUGGGGGCUGACGCCUGCCCAGUGCCAGAAGGUUAAAGAAGUUGGUUAGCAUUCGCGAAGCUGAUAACUGAAGCCCUGGUGAACGGCGGCCGUAACUAUAACGGUCCUAAGGUAGCGAAAUUCCUUGUCGGGUAAGUUCCGACCCGCACGAAAGGCGUAAUGAUUUGGAUACUGUCUCGGAGAGAGGCUCGGUGAAAUAGACUUGUCUGUGAAGAUGCGGACUACCUGCACCUGGACAGAAAGACCCUAUGAAGCUUUACUGUAACUUGAAAUUGAAAUUGGACUUUAUUUGCGCAGUAUAGGUGGGAGGCGUUGAUAGUAUUCUUGCGGGAAUAUUGGAGCCAUCAGUGAGAUACCACUCUUGUAAUGUUAGAUUUCUAACUUUGUAUCAUUAUCUGGUCAAAGGACAGCUUCAGGCGGGCAGUUUGACUGGGGCGGUCGCCUCCCAAACGGUAACGGAGGCGUACAAAGGUUUCCUCUGAACGGGUAGAAAUCGAAUCUAGAGUGUAAAGGCAUAAGGAAGCUUGACUGUGAGACCUACAAGUCGAGCAGGGAUGAAAGUCGGUCUUAGUGAUCUGACGGUGCUGAGUGGAAAGGCCGUCACUCAACGGAUAAAAGUUACUCUAAGGAUAACAGGCUGAUCUCCCCCAAGAGUUCACACCGACGGGGAGGUUUGGCACCUCGAUGUCGGCUCAUCGCAUCCUGGGGCGGUAGUACGUCCCAAGGGUUGGGCUGUUCGCCCAUGAAAGCGGUACGCGAGCUGGGUUCAGAACGUCGUGAGACAGUUCGGUCCAUAUCCGGUGUAGGCGUUAGAAUAUUGAGAGGAGCCUUCUUUAGUACGAGAGGACCGAGAUGGACAUACCUCUGGUGUACCAGUUAUCGUGCCAACGGUAAACGCUGGGUAGCUAUGUAUGGAGAGGAUAACCGCUGAAAGCGUCUAAGUGGGAAGCCCACCUCAAGAUAAGUAUUCUCAU
rnacentral:rRNA from 1 species